rnacentral:tRNA from 1 species
GGGGAUUUAGCUCAGUGGUAGAGCGCUUGCCUUUGAAGCGCAAGGCCCUGGGUUCGGUCCCCAGCUCUG